GUUAGGAAUAUUGGACAAUGGGGGCAACCCUGAUCCAGCCAUGCCGCGUGUGUCAAGAAGGCCUUAGGGUUGUAAAGCACUUUCGGCUGUGAAGAUAAUGACAGUAGCAGAAGAAGAAGCUCCGGCUAAAUUCGUGCCAGCAGCCGCGGUAAUACGAAUGGAGCGAGCGUUGUUCGGAAUCACUGGGCGUAAAGGGUGCGCAGGCGGUCUUGAAAGUUAGAAGUGAAAGCCCCGGGCUUAACCCGGGAAUUGCGUUUAAAACUCCAAGACUAGAGUACUGGAGAGGUUGGCGGAAUUCCAAGUGUAGCAGUGAAAUGCGUAGAUAUUUGGAGGAACACCGAUGGCGUAGGCAGCCAACUGGACAGUAACUGACGCUCAUGCACGAAAGCGUGGGGAUCAAACAGGAUUAGAAACCCGAGUAGUCC
rnacentral:rRNA from 1 species